ensembl:lncRNA
GGAAAAUCUUUCUUUACUGGAUGGAGGAAAUACUUGAGACUGAAUGUCAGAACACAAGAUGAUAAAUAAGAAAAGGAGACUGAAGGAAUCUAAGAGAGGAACCCACCAAAUCACAGUGCAGUGGUACCUGCAAACAAAGAUGGAUAGAAGAAUCCAGAAGGCAUAUUUAAAGCAAAUUUAAUCAGACACAAUCUGCUGGGAACCUCAUUCUUUAACAUUAAGAAGAAAAAGGAAAACAGGGGAGGUUCUUCAGUCCUGUGAUCAUCUUCAUGGCCAUCCUCCAGACCCUCUCCAGCAACUCCUCCUCCUUCUUGUACUGGGGAUCCCAGGCCUGGAUGCAGUACCCCGGAUGGGGCCUCACAAAGAGCAGAAGGGGACAAUCCCCUUCCCCACCCUGUUGCACCUCUUUUUUGAUGCAGCCAGGAUACAGUUGGCCUUCCAGGCUGCAAGUACACCCUGCUGGCUCAUGUCCAGCGCUUUGUCCACUAAAACCCCUAAGACCUUCUCAAGGCUGCUCUCAAGUUCUCUCCUAGUCUGUAUACAUAUGUGGGAUUGCCCUGACCCAAGAGUUACACCCUGCACUUGGCCUGGUGAACUUCACUGGAUUCAGUGGUGGGCUCACUUUUCAAGCUUUCCAGGUCCCUUUGAAUAGUAUCCCUUCUUUCUGUUGUAUCAACAGUACCACUCAGCUUAAUGUCUUCAGUAAACUUGCUGAGGGUGCACUCAAUCUCACUCUCUAGGUCAUUGAUAAAAGAUGUUGAAGAAGCACUGGUCCCAGGAUGGAUCCCUGGGAGCACCACUAGUCAGUGUCCUCUACCUGAACAUUGAUCCAUUGACAACAACACUCUGGCUUUGACCAUUCAACCAAUUCCUUAUCCACUGAAUAGUUCACCCUUAAAAUCCAUAUCUUUCCAAUUUAGAGAUAAGAAUGUGUUGUGUGAUCAUAUUAAAGACCUCGCAGAAGUCUGG